GUAUAGAACCUACCUUUUACUGGAGAAUAGCCCAGAGAAAUUUGGAUUAAUGCUCCAUAGUAUCAUUUUUUGGCAUCAUUAGGUGAUUAAAGAUUUAUCGGUAAAAGAUGGCUAUGCGUUCUAUUAGCUAGUUGGUAUGGUAACGGCAUACCAAGGCGACGAUAGAUAGGGGUCCUGAGAGGGAGAUCCCCCACACUGGUACUGAGACACGGACCAGACUCCUACGGGAGGCAGCAGUGAGGAAUAUUGGACAAUGGAGGCAACUCUGAUCCAGCCAUGCCGCGUGUAGGAAGACUGCCCUAUGGUUGUAAACUACUUUUAUAGAGGAAGAAACCGCUCUACGUGUAGAGCUCUGACGGUACUCUACGAAUAAGGAUCGGCUAACUCCGUGCCAGCAGCCGCGGUAAUACGGAGGAUCCAAGCGUUAUCCGGAAUCAUUGGGUUUAAAGGGUCCGUAGCGGGUUUGUAAGUCAGUGGUGAAAGUUUUCGGCUCAACCGGAAAAUUGCCAUUGAUACUGCAAGUCUUGAAUCGUUGUGAAGUGGUUAGAAUGU
rnacentral:rRNA from 1 species